rnacentral:rRNA from 1 species
AUACGUAGGGUGCAAGCGUUAAUCGGAAUCACUGGGCGUAAAGCGCGCGUAGGCCGCUUUGUAAGCCGGACGUGAAAGCCCUCGGCUCAACCGGGGAACUGCGUUCGAUACUGCGAGGCUUGAGUCCUGGAGAGGGUGGCGGAAUUCCGGGUGUAGGAGGGAAAUCCGUAGAUAUCCGGAGGAACACCGGUGGCGAAGCUGGCCACCUGGACAGGUACUGACGCUGGGGCGCAAAAGCGUGGGGAGCAAACAGGAUUAGAUCCCCUGGUAGUCCACGCCGUAAACGAUGGAUGCUAGGUGUCGGGGAGCGAUCCUCGGUGCCGGAGUUAACGCAUUAAGCAUCCCGCCUGGGGAGUACGGUCGCAAGGCUGAAACUCAAAUGAAUUGACGGGG